AGGACGAACGCUGGCGGCGUGCUUAACACAUGCAAGUCGAGCGGUAAGGCUCCUUCGGGAGUACACGAGCGGCGAACGGGUGAGUAACACGUGAGCAAUCUGCCCUUCUCUUCGGAAUAACCAUUGGAAACGAUGGCUAAUGCCGAAUACGACCUCCUUUCGCAUGAUCGGAGGUGGAAAGCUCCGGCGGAGAAGGAUGAGCUCGCGGCCUAUCAGCUAGUUGGUGAGGUAAUGACUCACCAAGGCAUUGGACGGGUAGCCGGCCGUGAGGAGGGUCGACCGGCCACACGUGGGACUGGACGACGACCGGCCCAGACCUCCGACGGGACGGCAGCGAGGUGGGAAUAGUUAGGACAAGUGGGACGGAAAGCCGU
rnacentral:rRNA from 1 species